rnacentral:misc_RNA from 1 species
CAGAGUUCUCGCCCCUCGCGGGUAGAUCUCCCACCCACUGUUAUCACUACCGUCGUUUCUUUGGCGGGCCGCUGGGCCCUGCCCGGCCGCCGGCUCCGGCUGGCGCGCGCCCGCCAGAGACAACCCAAACUCUGAAUGUUAGUGUCGUCUGAGUACUAUACAAUAGUUA